UUGGUCUACGGGAGGCAGCAGUGGGGAAUAUUGCACAAUGGGGGAAACCCUGAUGCAGCAACGCCGCGUGAAGGCAGACGGUUUUCGGAUUGUAAACUUCUUUUCUUAGUGAAGAAGCAAGUGACGGUAGCUAAGGAAUAAGCAUCGGCUAACUACGUGCCAGCAGCCGCGGUAAUACGUAGGAUGCGAGCGUUAUCCGGAAUUACUGGGUGUAAAGGGAGCGCAGGCGGGCGUUCA
rnacentral:rRNA from 1 species